CUUUGGUUGGAAUGAUAGCCUGAUGCAAACUACUUCAUCUUGCAGAGAAGCAGAAACUCUUAAUUACAGUACACUUUAAAAAAAUCUAUAGUAUAUUUAUAUUCAUGUAAUACGGAGAAAAAAGGUGGACAUAUGUGUAGUACAGAUGCUCUAAUUAGAGUUUUUCCAUGUACAAAUUUGAAAUAAGUGUAUAAUCUAUAUUAAAUGAAUACCAGUUAUGUGGCAUGCACUCAUGUAGGUUCUGCCUGACAUGUGCAAAAGGCCAGUGGACAUUCUUUAUAUUAGAAUCUUUCAUAAUCCCAUAGGUGAUUUUUAAUUCUGGGAAUAGAUAUGAAUUCAAAAGAAAAAAGAUAAAAAUUAUUUGGUUUAUCCUAGUUUGGGAACAAAACCAGAAGAAAAUAGAAUCAAAGUUAAAUCCUAAAAGCAAACCGAAAUAGGAAUAUAGGUGAAGUGGAGAGAGAGGGAAAAAUAAUAAGCCCAUAUGAGACAAUAGAUCAACUAUUUUUUAAAAAGGAAGGAAAAAGCUGUCCUUAAUCUUCUAUGAUGUUAAAUAAACUUUAUGAGGUUCUAAUGAUGGAUUUUCAUACUGACUUGAAAUUAGCAAUAAACAAGCAUCUUUGAUUUUUUUUCAUUCUGCAUUUUAAAGUUCAAUUUUAUCUUUUAUUUUCAUGCACCUUUGUUUUUUUCUGAUACAGUUCUCCGCCUUUCCUAGGUUUUAUUUAUUUUCAAAAAUUAUAACAUUCUUGCGAGUUCCUGUUGUGGCACAGUGGGAAUGAAUCUGACUAGUAUCCGUGAGGUUGUGGCUUUGAUCCCUGGCUCCAUUCAGUGGGUUGGGGAUCCAGCCUCGCCGUGGGUUGUAGUGUAGGUCACAGACAGCUCCAGCUGCUGGGGCUGUGGUAUAGGCCAACAGGAUAGGAUUCAACCCUUAGCCUGGGAAUUUCCAUAUGCUGCUGGUGCGGCCCUAAGAAAAAAAACUUAUAAUAUUCUUUGGAUUCAUGUACUGCUUAUCUCUUCUGGCUGUUCAUUAAUAAAGAUAUUAUUCAACACUAUGAAGUAUUUUGGCCUAUAGGGCAAGUUAAAUGUCCUACUUUCUCUUACAAAUUGCAAUCUAUACAAUUCUCACAAUGUAUUUGAUUUUUCCACAGUCACCAUUUGAUAGUUUCCCUAAAUGAAUACUACCUACAUAUUUAUAGCAAGCUUUAGUCUGUGUAAGAGUUAGAAACAAAAUUCCUUGAUCUGCCUAAUAAGAAUGUUCCCAGUCAAAUGUUCAAGCAUAUUACCUUUGCUUUAUAAUCCAUCAGUGAUUUCUUUCUACCUGUUAAAGUAAACAUUAAGGAACAAACUUAACCUAAAAUCAUAUAUUUGAAAGAAGGUCUAUUCAGCAGUUUAAUUCACCUAUAUUAAAAUUUGUAAUAUCUGUUUGCUCAAACUUAAUUGAAGUUUGAACAUUAAUGUUAUAUUGUGAAGUUAUAUAACCAAAAUAUAACUAUUUAAAAUAUACCUGAUUUUAGUAGACUGUUUUUUCGUAAAUGCAUUUUAAUAUUAAUAUUUUGCUAUUAUUAUUAUUGUUAUUUUACUCAUUAUUUGAUGUUGAUGAAUAGGCAUACCUCAGAUAUAUUGUGGAUUCAGUUUCAAACAACCACAAUGAAGCAAAUAAUGCAAUAAAGCAAGUCAGACAAAUUUCUUUUGUUUCCUAGUGUGUAGAAAAGUUAUGUUUACAUUAUAAGCUAGUCUUUUAAGUGUGCAAUAUCAUUAUAUCUCUGAAAAUUAUGUACAUACCUUAAUUUAAAAAUAUUUUAUUGCUAAAAAAUGCUAACCAUCAUCUGAGCCUUAAGCAAGUCAUAAUCUUUUUGCCAGUGGAAUUUUUGAAAUGUUGUGAGAAUUACCAAAAUAUGACAGAAAGACACAAAGUGAAUAAAUGCUACUGGAAAAAUGGCACCAAUAGACUUGCUCAAGGCAACAUAGCCACAAACCUUCCAUUUGUAAGAAACAAAGUAUUUGUGAAGUGCAAUAAAACUGGGUAUGCUCACACUGUAAAAAACACACACAUAACAUUUUACAGCCAAAACAUACAUGUUUACACUUGAUAAAAGUAACAGUUUAACUUUUCUAAUAUUUUCAUAAGAUCAAUUGUGAAAUAUAUAUAUACCAUUUCAGAGUCAAUAUCCUCACUUUUUGUUGUUGUUGUUUACAGAUACUAUAGAAUAAAUUAAAUAAAAGGAAUUUUUUUUUAGGUCCACACCCAAGGCAUAUGGAAGUUUCCAGGCUAGGGGUGGAAUCAGAGCUGCAGCUGCCGGCCUACACCACAGCCACAGCAACACAGGAUCUGAGUUGCAUCUGCAACCUACGCCACAACUCAGGGCAACACAGGAUCCUUAAUCCACUGAGCGGGGCCAGGGAUUAAACCCAUGUCCUCAUGGAUACUAGUCAGGUUCAUUACCACUGAGCCACAACCAGGAACUUCCUUUUUUUUUUUGAAGGAAAUUUCUUGACCUAAGAAGUCUCAGAGGUCCCAUUUAUAGCUCAGCAAGUUAAGAAUCUGACUAAUAUCCAUGAGGAUACGGGUCUGAUCCCUGGCCUCGCUCAGUGGUUUAAGGAUCUAGCAUUGCCACAAGCUGGGGCAUAGGUCAUAUAUGUUGCUGGGAUCUGGUGUUGCUGUGGCUGUUGCAUAGGCUGGCAGGUGCAGCUCUCAUUUGAACUCUAACCUAUGAAUUUCCAUAGCCACAGGUGUGGCCCUAAAAAGAAAAAAGAAGUCU
rnacentral:lncRNA from 1 species